rnacentral:tRNA from 1 species
UGGGUUGUGGCUCAGAGGUAGAGUGCUUGCCUAGCAUGCAUGAGGCACUGGGUUUAAUCCUCAGCACUACAU